GAAGCAGCCACCCUUUGAAGAGUGCGUAAUAGCUCACUAGUCGAGUGCUCUUGCGCGGAUAAUGUACCGGGGCUAAGCAUAUUACCGAAACUGUGGAUGCGUAAGCAUGGUAGGAUAGCGUAAUUAACGCGAUGAAGGAUGACCGUAAGGACAUGUUGGAGCGUUAACUAGUGWGAAUUCCGGUAUGAGUAGCGAAAGAUAGGUGAGAAUCCUAUCC
rnacentral:rRNA from 1 species